CGUAAUGUUACAAAUGAUGUGAAAAAAGUCCUCAUUGGCCCGUAGUGCAUUGAUGGACAGUUUUUGGUAUAAUUAUGGCUAUGGAUUCUCUUCGGCCAAUGGUGCAAAGAUGAAUUGUUUUAUGGCAUGAUCAGGACCGUUAAUGAAAAUACGAUUAUCUUUGGCCCGUAGUGCAUGGAUAAUUCGUGGUCGUGAUACUAAAAAAUAUCCUUGGCUUGUAGUGCAGGGAUGAUUUGAUGAUGUGGAUUAUUUGUUAAACUGAGUCUUAGCGAUAAAAGUGAUGA
rnacentral:lncRNA from 1 species